UACGUAGGGUGCAAGCGUUAAUCGGAAUUACUGGGCGUAAAGCGUGCGCAGGCGGUUUUGUAAGUCUGUCGUGAAAUCCCCGGGCUUAACCUGGGAAUGGCAUUGGAAACUGGCUCGCUGGAGUGUGGCAGAGGGGGGUGGAAUUCCGCGUGUAGCAGUGAAAUGCGUAGAGAUGCGGAGGAACACCGAUGGCGAAGGCAGCCCCCCUGGGCUAACACUGACGCUCAGGCACGAAAGCGUGGGGAGCAAACAGG
rnacentral:rRNA from 1 species